rnacentral:rRNA from 1 species
GACGUGACCAAAGCGAAGGGGAAACACCUGUUUCCAUCUCGAACACAGCCGUUAAGCCCUUCAGCGCUGAUGGUACCUGGAAGGAGACUUCCCGGAAGAGUAGGUCGUUGCGUCU